GCUGUAGGUUCACACCUCUUUUCAGGUUUACAUCUGGACUGAGCUGCACAACCUGCGCCCCGUCAAAAUCUAGUCCUCACCGUACAUCCACAGCCCUACACAACGCAUUUACAGCUGGAAGAUGAAUUAUUGGCUCUCUGCGAUUCUUUUGCAGCAGUGUAAUAGUUAAAUCAGUGCCGAAUGCGUUAUUUGAUGUGGUGUGUGGUGCCUAAGCUUGAACAGUCCUCUACAGUGAGAAGAUGGCGUCGGACGGAGCGAAAGGGGAGCAGCCACCUCCGCUACAAACACUGGUAACCACUGGCCAUGGAAGCGUCGAGGCGAAAUGUGAGCUGAACAUCGACAACCUGAGCAAACCAGAGCUCCUGACCCUUCUGAGCAUCAUGGAGGGAGAACUUGAGGCCAGAGACCUGGUCAUUGAAGCUCUUAGGGCUCGAAGAAAAGAAGUAUUCCUGCAGGAGCGAUAUGGACAGUUCAGUCUGACGGACCCAUUCCUCGCCUUGCAGAGGGACUUUGAGUCAGGAACAGGACCAAAGGACCGUAGGCCUGUUAGCGCGAGCCCCAUCACUGUGCUGGAAGCUGUUAUGGCCCACUGCCGCAAAAUGCAGGAGAGGAUGUCUGCCCAGCUCUCAGCUGCUGAGAGCAGACAGAAAAGGCUUGAAAUGGAGAAACUGCAGCUGCAGAGCCUGGAGCAGGAACACAGGAAGCUGUCGGCUCAGCUGAAGGAUGAGCGAGAGAAAAACAAACACGUGGUGAUGUCACUGGUGCAUGAAUGCAAGCAGCUAGCCGCUCGUGUGGUUGAAGAGAACCAGCGUUUUGAGGAGCUCUCAUCCCGUACUGAGCAGGACAGCCGUUCUGUGGGACGACUGGAGGAAGAACUGGCAUCUGAGCGACGUCGUAGCCAACAGAUGGAAGCGGAGAUGGAGAAACAGCUGGCCGAGUUUGACACAGAACGAGAGCAGCUACGUGCCAGGCUUAGCCGCGAGGAGACGCGGGCUGCGGAGCUGCGGGCUGAAAGUGAGAAUCUCCGCCAGCAGGUGGAGCAGCUAAAAACUGAGCGAUGCAAAGAUGCCCCACCACUUCCUUCUGUCACCCCAGCAACUGCCCCAGUUAAACCCAAGACUAUGGCAUCCGUGGCUGUGGGCACUGAGGCAACCGUCUACAAGACUGCUUCCUCUCAGACAGAUGAAAAUGAAGCAGCUAAGAAGGUGCCACUCUCCAUCCCAGUCAAGCCUACAAGUUCUACCUAUGUUAGCAUGAACCUACCUAAGACUUCCAGUGCUGGACGGGGGUUACACCACGGGAGCUCUCAGGCAGAAAAUGGAGGAGAGGGCCAAACGCAUCCACAUGGCUCACAUUCACCUGGUGUGUCCGCUACCUUGCCGACUGGGGUCAGUCCCCGCGUCCAGGCGGCCCGUUACAAAUUCCAACCCUCUGCCUCAGAGCAGGACCAAAAUGGAACCGCAAACCAGAGUCCCCCUUCCCGCGACCUGUCCCCCACAAAUCGAGAUAACUUUGCAGCCAAACAGCAGGCUCGCCACACGGUCACACAGGUUCUCUCCCGCUUCACAAGCCCUCCAGCAGGGGGACCCCCUGCAGCCCUUCGGCCUGGUUUGCCACACUCCACAUCUGAGGGGGGACCCUUCGCAGGGCGUUUAGGCCACCCCCAGAUAGGCCUUAAAUCACCAACUGUGGCCCGCAUUGACAGGGGUAACCCACCCCCCAUCCCACCAAAAAAACCAGGACUGUCCCAGACACCAUCCCCUCCACACCCACCAAUCAAAGUAGUAGGUGAAGCCAGCAGGUCCCCAGGAACAGGACUGGGGGUGGGCCUUGCCAAAUCAACUGCCACCCCUCAGCUUCCUCCAAAGCCCUCCUUAGAUUUGGGCGGUACAGUCCCAGCCUUGACUGCGUCACAGGUGGGUGCUUCCUGUACUGGCUGGCCAUGGGGGCAGCAGCCGACAGCAGCAUGUGUGGAGUGUCCCCCUGUCACCACCUCCUCCACAGCUACCAUUGUCAUUAGUCCCUCCAUAAACCCACCUAGUCUUCCGUCCCAUAGUCCCCAGCACCCGGGCAGCACCCUGGCAGCAGCAUCAGGCUGGUGUCCCUCCAUAGUCCCCACGCUAACCUGCGGUGACCCCGUCCCCCUGGAUGACGGGCAAACCCUUCUCCUCCAAGCUGCUUCCCAGGGAAAUGUCACUUUAUUGUCUAUGCUGCUUAACCAAGAUCCACUAUUGGAUAUUCAUCAUCGUCAUCAUGAAUUAACCUCUGCCUUGAUCUCUGCUGCUCUUAAUGGACACACAGACUGCUUAAAUCUGCUGCUGACUUCAGGGGCAUCUGCUGAAGCUGCCGAUAAAACAGGAUUUACGCCGCUACAUGCCGCUGCUGAAAAUGGUCACCAUGGGUGUGUGAAAGCUCUUGUAAAAUGUGGAGCUGAUUUGGAGAAGGAGUGUUCGCAGGGAAGGACCCCUCUGUACCUGGCCUGCGAACAGGGACAUGUGGAGUGCGUGAAAGUCUUGCUAGAUGCAGGAGCAGACCGUUCACAUGUCACGACUGACAACUGCACCGCUCUGCACGCUGCAGUCAGUUCAGGUCAUGUGGGCCCUCUGAAGCUCCUGCUAUACCACCCAUCACCUGAACCAGACCUGGGUCUCCCUGCAUCUCCUUCAGACUCCAAUCAGGAGCUCCAACACCCUGGCAUAACCAAAGCCAGUCACAUCCUCAACCACAGUAACCAGGAUGGCUGGACUGCUGCCCAUAUUGCUGCAUCCAGGGGCUACAAGAAAUGCCUGGAGGUCUUGUGUAGCCACAGUCAACAGGACAUGGAGAAGAGGGACAAAUGCAAUCGCACCAUACAUGAUGUUGCCACAGAUGACUGCAAAGAUCUAUUAGAGAACCUGGAUUUGUACACAGUAGUUGUACAGGUGCUUAUGGGCUCACCGGAGCGUCUUUGCCCUGUGGAUCUCCUGGAGGAUGGAUGCACUGUUGGCAAAGUUACAAUUCAGCGCAAUAUUAGCUGGGAAGAGUUAACAGGAAGCUUGAGUUACCUGCUGACCAAUCACCUCCAGCUAAUUUGUGGGAGGUGGGAACUGCAGGAAGUUCUGGGUAGAGCGGACACUUUGGGCCUCUCUACUAACAGCAUGGCCUCUGUGAUUAUAGGUGAUGCUGUCUGGCUGCCGGGGCAGGAACUGGCCCAGUCUCCUUGGGACCUCAUUCGAAAACGCCUGAGUCAACGUAUUACCAUACAUCUUAAAGGCCUGUCAGAGUGCACUCUGGAUGAGAUGACGUACGACUCCCUGAUCCCUCUACAGCUGCUGCAGAACUAUGUCCGCCUGGUGGAACAGUACCAUAAUGUCAUCUUCCAUGGGCUGGAGGGCAGCUUUCAGGAGUACAUCGCCAACCAGAUCUCUCAUUAUAUCAAGUACAGACAGGAGGCCCAGGGGAUUGGCUGUGAUGUCGUCAGGGUGGAGAUAGAUGAGAGUCUAUCAAAAGAGCACCUGCUGGAGAUCUUCAUCAACUGUGGUUUCCUGGUGUCUUUGCAUGAAGGCAGCGCUGGGCGUUGUGUUGUGGCCAUUCUUGAGGGUCUGGAGAGAGCUCACUCUCUCAGCCACAUCCUGGGAGAUCUGUGCGAAGCCCUGGAGAACCGAGGAUCUGUCUAUUCCCUCUCCCUCAACCAUGGUCACAAUGGGCUUUACUAUUUCCGUGAAGGGAGUUUUUUGAUUGGCACUCUGGCUAAGCCUCGCCUGCAGGGUGCUGAGCUACGAUUACAGCAGCACUUCCGCUGGGUUCAGCUGCGCUGGGACAUCGAGCCCCUCAAUGGCAUGCUGGGACGUCAUCUCCGCAGAAAACUCCUCCACAAGACUCAGGGCCAGUGCUGGACAUCUGAUGAUCCCGUACACAAAGCGCUGUCUUGGGUGUGCUCAGUGUGGCACCAGCUCAAUGCCUGUCUGUCGCGUCUGGGGACCUCAGAGGCCUUGUUGGGACCCUAUAUCUUCCUUUCCUGCCCUGUGAAUCCAGAACAGACCCAGGCCAUUCCAAAGUGGUUAGUGAGGCUUUGGAAUGCAGUGAUAGUUCCACGGGUCGAGGACGCUGUUAUAUCUAGAGUAACAGCCAAGCGCUCUCCCUCCCAACGACGGUCUCCCAACAACAAAGGUCUGAGCCCAGGUCAGAGAGCGGUUGUCAAAGCAGCUCUCAAUAUUCUUCUGAGUAAGGCUGUGCUGCAAGGCUGCCCACUGUCCAGACCAGAGAUUGACAGGCUUUUACCAGAGUUCCAGGGAGGAUGUUUCCCUCUUUCCACCAUUGGCUCCGCCUACAGGAAAGGUGGCCGAAAAGGACGCGAUAAUGGCGCUUGGAGACGAGCCAAUACCAGUCCACGGAAGAAAGGGAGCCCCGCCUCUGGGAGGAGCUCUAGCUGUUCCUUAAGAGAGGGAUCUCUGGCCAAUUCAAGCACUCACCCAAUGACAAAUGUCAAUCAUGCAAGACUCAGUGACGGAGUUGCUGUGGGUCUGUCUCUCUGCUCUGAUGAUGAGACAGAUCUCAUCAGAGAACUCCAGACCAUGUGCUCCAGCAAAUCUGAGCCAGACAUAAGCAAGAUUGCUCUCUUUAAAGAGGACUUCAUCAUGCUUCCAGACUCCAGUCCGCCCACUCCUCAGAGGAGUGACGGUGAGGUCACGCAGCCCCAAACACUCCCUGUUACAACAGAGAGUGCCGUGGAUAUGACCCAUCCUCCACCACAGAAGUUCGUUGCAGGCUGUUCCCGGUGUCGUGUUCUCUGUGUGUUUCUUCCUGGUUUUUGGAUUCUGGACUUUCGUCGUGUGCCCUGUUUUCUGGGUUGGAUUAUCCUUGUUCUCUGAUACCCGCUGUAGCCCUGCGCCACCCAGUGCCUCGCCACUCUGCACGCCACAGCCUCUGCCUCGACUGACCCUUGGAGUGAAGUUAUUGUACAGCAUUUUCCUGUCAAUAAAUAUUGUUAUUCUUGCACUUGGAUCCUCUGUCUGUGUUCAUUCCCUGACAGAACGAACUGACCACUUAUGGAUCCAGCAAGGUCGUCGGAUCUUCAGGAGUAUUUGAGCAGGAGUGCUCAACGGAUGGAUCAUCAGGACGAGCAAGUGGUGGCCACUGCUCGUGCCGUUCAGGCGUUGGUGGCGCAGGUGGCUGAGUUAUCUACCCAGGUUCAACAUCUUUCAUCUCCCACUGCGCCAGCUCCACCGUCUGUUCCCCACCCAUCCGCCAACGUCAGCAGUCAACAAGAGCCGCGUAUUCCUGCACCAGAGAGGUAUGCUGGAGAACCAGAUGUUUGUAGAGCCUUUCUAACGAAGUGCUCUAUUUAUUUCUCUUUGCAACCUAACACGUUUUCUUCUGAGGAAUCUAAAGUCGCGUUGGUCAUGACGCUUCUGACGGGACGCGCAGCGUUGUGGGGAACAGCGGUGUGGGAGAACAAACAUCAGUGCUGCUCCUCAUUCCACACCCUGUCGCAGGAGAUGAGACGGGUCUUCGACCGUUCGGUGGCGGGACGGGAGGCCGCGCGCAAACUCGCGGAUCUGCGGCAGGGAAUCCAACCAGUGUCUGAUUACGCCAUCAAAUUCCGCACCCUGGCAGCGGAAUGCAAGUGGAACGAGGAGGCGCAGUGGGAUAUGUUCCUGCAUGGGUUGGCCGACCGUGUUCAGCAGGAGAUUUACCAGCUGGAUCUACCCACCAGUCUCGACGGUCUCAUUGAGCUCGCGCUGCGGGUGGACGCUCGCUUGCAAGAACGCGCGGCGCGUAAGAGGCCCGUAGCGCGCUUCGAGGAAAUGGAGGAGAGCGGUGCCAGCGGAGUUAACACGGUCGGUCCCCCGUUCGAUCCUGAACCCAUGCAGGUGGGUAGAGCUCGGCUCUCCCGGGAGGAGAGAUUACACCGGAGAGAGAUGGGACUGUGUUUGUACUGUGGAGGGGCGGGGCAUUUUCUUAGGGAGUGUCCCGUAAAAGGCAGAGCCCGACAGUAGUACCGAGGUUAUUGUCGGGUGGUCUUUCCUUGGAUAAAUCCUCAUCUGCGACACUCCUCCCGGUGAGACUACAGUGGGUAUCGGGGCAUCACACCUGCCAGGCUCUGGUCGACUCGGGGGCGGAGGGCAGCAUCAUGGACUAUGAUCUGGUCACGCGUUUGCACAUACCCAUUCACCCUUUGGAACAUGCCAUAACUGUCAUCGCCCUUAAUGGACAGAAGCUACCCACCAUCACACACGCCACGGAGCCCUUAACCGUCAUCACUUCCGUUCGUUGCAGGCUGUUCCCGGUGUCGUGUUCUCUGUGUGUUUCUUCCUGGUUUUUGGAUUCUGGACUUUCGUCGUGUGCCCUGUUUUCUGGGUUGGAUUAUCCUUGUUCUCUGAUACCCGCUGUAGCCCUGCGCCACCCAGUGCCUCGCCACUCUGCACGCCACAGCCUCUGCCUCGACUGACCCUUGGAGUGAAGUUAUUGUACAGCAUUUUCCUGUCAAUAAAUAUUGUUAUUCUUGCA